UACGUAGGGUGCGAGCGUUAAUCGGAAUUACUGGGCGUAAAGCGUGCGCAGGCGGUCUGUUAAGACCGAUGUGAAAUCCCCGGGCUUAACCUGGGAAUGGCAUUGGUGACUGCACGGCUAGAGUGUGUCAGAGGGGGUAGAAUUCCACGUGUAGCAGUGAAAUGCGUAGAGAUGUGGAGGAAUACCGAUGGCGAAGGCAGCCCCCUGGGAUAACACUGACGCUCAUGCACGAAAGCGUGGGAGCAAACAGG
rnacentral:rRNA from 1 species